GACGAACGCUGGCGGCGUGCUUAACACAUGCAAGUCGAACGAAGUGGCGAACGGGUGAGUAAUGCGUAAUCAACCUGCCCUUCAGAGGGGUACAACAGUUGGAAACGACUGCUAAUACCGCAUACUGAAGGAGGGGAUUGCGUCUGUUUAGCUAGUUGGGGGGGUAACGGCCCACCAAGGCGAUGAUCAGGAGCCGGUCUGAGAGGGUGUACGGCCACAUUGGGACGUAGGCACGGCCAAGACUCCGACGGGAAGCAGCAGUGGGGAAACUUCCGCAAUGGACGAAAGUCUGACGAGGCAACGGCGCGGGAGAGAGGACGGCCUUCGGGUUGUAAAGCUCUGUUAAUCGGGACGCGGUACCGGAAGAAAAAGCCACGGCUAACUACGUGCCAGCAGCCGCGGUAAUAC
rnacentral:rRNA from 1 species